GCCGAAGUGGCGGAACUGGUAGACGCGCACGACUCAAAAUCGUGUGGGGUUACACCCGUGAGAGUUCAAGUCUCUCCUUCGGCACCA
rnacentral:tRNA from 1 species